CUGCCUGUAGUCUAGUGGCUAAAGCACAUGACUGGGGCUCUGAGGUUGGUGGUUCAAACCCCCCUGAGCAAG
rnacentral:tRNA from 1 species